GUGUAAACACCUAGGUGCCCGCUUGGGCUGCGGCCGGGCCACGCCUCGCGCUCGCGCUCGGGCGUAGCGUCACCCGUUGCUGGGCAGAGAAGCCGGUAUUUGCAUCUCCCAAUCGCUGGCCGCCGGAGCGGGGCGGGGCUCGGGCUGCGGGGCUGGGCGGUCUCGCGGCUGGGAUUGGGGGAGACCGGCGAGAUCGGUUUCUUUUCUUAGGUUGGGGGUUGGAGGAAGGAUAGGGGACGCGAGCCUGCCUCCCAUCUGGCGCUGGACGCUUGUCCCUGCCCCGCGUUGCCUUUUAAAUUUUAGCUUAUUCCGAGACACCUGCCGUCAGAAGCUGAGAUCUGGAAAACCCUACGUGUAAAACCUUUACAUCUGCAGCCUGAGCAGUCUACCCGAUGGAGUCACGCUUCCUGUGUUCACAUUCCCAGUCCCUCCUUUUCCUUAUCCUGAAAAUGGGGAUAAUGCAGUUUCUCCCUCACAUGGUUGUUUUACAGAUUAAAUGAGAUAAUGCAUGUAAACACAUCCUGAUACCUAGUGAAUGUUCAAUAAAACUUACGAUAGACGGGACGCGGUGGCUUAUGCCUGCAAUCCCAGCACUACGAAAAAUACAAAACUUAGCCAGGUGUGAUGGCCCGUGCCUUUAGUCCCAGCUACUUGGGAGGCUGAGGCAGGAAGAUCGCUUGAGCCUGGGAAGUUGAGGCUCCAGUGAGCUGUGAUCGUACCACUGCAGUCCAGCCUAUGGAACAGAGUGAGACCCCAUCUCAAGCCGAGGCGGGCGGAUCAUUUGAGGUCAGAAGUUCGAGAUCCGCCUGGCCAAUAUGGUGAAACCUUGUCUCUACUAAAAUUAAAAAAUAAUGAGCCAGGC
rnacentral:lncRNA from 1 species